rnacentral:rRNA from 1 species
UAAACCUGGUUGAUCCUGCCAGUAGUCAUAUGCUUGUCUUAAAGAUUAACCCAUGCAUGUGUAAGUAUAGUAUUCUACAGCGAAACUGCGAAUGGCUCAUUAAAUCAGUUAUAGUUUAUUUGAUAAUACCUUACUACUUGGAUAACCGUGGUAAUUCUAGAGCUAAUACAUGCAUUAAAACCCGACUUCUGGAA